rnacentral:rRNA from 1 species
UACAGAGGUCUCAAGCGUUGUUCGGAUUCAUUGGGCGUAAAGGGUGCGUAGGCGGCGCGGUAAGUCGGGUGUGAAAUCUUGGAGCUUAACUCCGAAACUGCAUUCGAUACUGCCGUGCUUGAGGACUGGAGAGGAGACUGGAAUUUACGGUGUAGCUGGUGGAAAUGCGUAGAUAAUCGGUAAGGAAGACCAGUGGCGAA